CCUACGGGAGGCAGCAGUGGGGAAUAUUGCACAAUGGGGGAAACCCUGAUGCAGCGACGCCGCGUGAGUGAUGAAGUAUUUCGGUAUGUUAAGCUCUAUUAGUAGGGAAGUUAAUGACGGUACCUGACUAAUAAGCUCCGGCCAAAUACGUACCAGCAGCCGCGGUAAUACGGAGGGAGCAAGCGUUAUCCGGAUUUACCGGGUGUAAGGGGAGCGCAGAUGGCAGGGCAAGUCCGAGGUGAAAGUCCGGGGCUCAACCCCGGAAUUGCAUUUGAAACUGUCCGGCUAGAGUGCAGGAGAGGUAAGUGGAAUUCCUAGUGUAGCGGUGAAAUGCGUAGAUAUCAGGAGGAACACCGAUUGCGAAGGCGGCUUACUGGACUGUAACUGACGUUGAGGCUCGAAAGCGUGGGGAGCAAACAGGAUUAGAUACCCGUGUAGUC
rnacentral:rRNA from 1 species